GUCCUAUUUCAGUAGAACCUGGUGUCAGGUGUUAUCUGGUGGGAGGUUCACAUGACAUCUGCAGCGCUUUCUCUUUCUUUGAUGAAAACAACAUUGUGAUGUGUUCUGAUUUUAAUGUUUCACUGAUGUAUGAUUUUAUGGGUAUUUGGGAUUUUCUUUUUUUUGUGGUCAUUUUCUCAAACUCAAGGAUCUGUAUUUUUAAAAGAUGCUUGACAGCAGAAAACUCAGGCGGAAACCUUUACGGUUCCACUCAGCACAGUCUUGAAAUUAAAAUAAAACCAAUAAAGGAGACCUCCUGCACCAGAGAUGGGACUGUAGUGGUGUUGUUUUGAGUCCAUUCCAGCAGCAUCAAUUCCCCCUGGCAGCAUCUGAUGCCUAUUUCUCCACUUGUCUGCAGAGAAACCACUCCCACAGGGUCCCCCUGGCGGUGUUAUUGGAGUCCUCGGAGGUGUCGUUGCCAUCGGCCUCAUCGCCGGCGUGGCCGUCACCGUUUUCAUGGUCCAUCGGCGGCAGCAGAAGACACGCACUGAGACCGAUAAUGACCUCAUUGCUGUUGCUGCUGUUGCUGAUAGUUGUGUGACACAGGCUCCAGAGAAGCCAGAGCCCCCCACAAGGAAAGUAGAGGCUACUGACCCCAGUCUUUCCCCCACUGACCCCUGUCCUCCUGGAUCCUCUAUUCUGUUACCUGCAUGCAACGGUGGCCUGCAAGUCACAUACCUAAGCACGCCGUUGUGAGCGCAGAGAACUUACGCUCACUCAAAUUAACAUCAGAGAGAACCGGAAAAAAAAAAAGAUUCUUUUGGAAAGACCCACAAGGCAAAUCUUAACAUCUGAUUUUAAAGGAUGGCAAAACGAAUCCAGCUCCUUCAAAUAAUGUAGCGUGAUAAAGAAAUGCGAAUUAGGCUUGCUGGAAAA
rnacentral:lncRNA from 1 species